rnacentral:rRNA from 1 species
GAUGAACGCUGGCGGCGUGCUUAACACAUGCAAGUCGAACGGAAAGGCCCAAGCUUGCUUGGGUACUCGAGUGGCGAACGGGUGAGUAACAUGUGGGUGAUCUGCCCUGCACUUCGGGAUAAGCCUGGGAAACUGGGUCUAAUACCGGAUAGGACGAUGGUUUGGAUGCCAUUGUGGAAAGUUUUUUCGGUGUGGGAUGAGCUCGCGGCCUAUCAGCUUGUUGGUGGGGUAAUGGCCUACCAAGGCGUCGACGGGUAGCCGGCCUGAGAGGGUGUACGGCCACAUUGGGACUGAGAUACGGCCCAGACUCCUACGGGAGGCAGCAGUGGGGAAUAUUGCACAAUGGGCGCAAGCCUGAUGCAGCGACGCCGCGUGGGGGAUGACGGCCUUCGGGUUGUAAACUCCUUUCGCUAGGGACGAAGCGUUUUGUGACGGUACCUGGAGAAGAAGCACCGGCUAACUACGUG